GAUGAAGAACGUAGUGAAAUGCGAUACGUUAUGUGAAUUGCAAAUUCAGUGAAUCAUCGAGUCUUUGAACGCACAUUGCGCCCCCUGGUAUUCCGGGGGGCAUGCCUGUCCGAGCGUCAUUGCUGCCCUCAAGCACGGCUUGUGUGUUGGGCCCCGUCCUCCGAUCCCGGGGGACGGGCCCGAAAGGCAGCGGCGGCACCGCGUCCGGUCCUCGAGCGUAUGGGGCUUUGUCACCCGCUCUGUAGGCCCGGCCGGCGCUUGCCGAUCAACCCAAAUUUUUAUCCAGGUUGACCUCGGAUCAGGUAGGGAUACCCGCUGAACUUAAGCAUAUCAAUAAGCGGAGGA
rnacentral:misc_RNA from 1 species